rfam:Chlorocebus sabaeus isolate 1994-021 chromosome 6, whole genome shotgun sequence.
GCUGGGCUUGGUGGUGUGAUCCUGUAUCCUAGCGGAGGCAGGAGGAUUCACACACAGAGGCUUGAGCCUAGGACUUCUGGGAAGUGGUGUGCUAUGACCAUCGGCAUCAAUGUGGUGACUCCCCAGAGCAGGGGACCACCAGGUUGCCUAAGGAAGAGUCAGUUGGUCCAGGUUGGAAACAGAGCAGGUCAAAACUCCUGCGUUGAUCAGUAGUGGAAUCACAUCUGUGAAUAGCCACUGCGCUCCGGCCUGGGCAACAGAGCGAGACCCUGUCUCUA